rnacentral:ncRNA from 1 species
AAGUAAUUUAGUUUUGGUUAUAGAAGGGUUUAUGGAGGGUGCCACAUAGUGAGUUUAUAUGUUGUUUUCUUCUUGAUUGUUAAUGUCUUGGGUUAGACUAGUGGUUGGAUUUCACUUGGUGGAUGGGAGUCCGAGUGAGCUCUUGCAUAAGGCGGGUGGUUAAUUCACAGUGCCAGCAGCUGCGGUUAUUCUGUUAACCUUUCCUUCUUAUCGGUUUAAAUGGUUUGUGAGUAAUUUUGAAUUUGGUGGGGUAGAAUCUUUGCUUUCUUUUUUUAUUCUCUCACAGAUUCUUUUGAGGGCUAUUAAAAGAAGAGGAUUAGAGACCCUAGUAUUGAGUCGAGAUUACUUUGUGACUUCAUAGUUUAAACUAAAAAAAUUUGGCAGCCGAUGAUUCUCUUCCGGGGGAGCGUGUGGCGUAAGAGAUGAUCCACUUAUAUCUUUACCACCCCUAGUUAUGGGUUAGUGUACGUCCGGUUUAAUACCUUUGAUUAGUGUCUUUAGGUGUAUUUCUAUUGAUUUAGGCCAGGUCAAUGUGCUGCUAAUGGGGUGGUGUCUAUUCGCUACUUUGAUAAAAAAUAUUGAGGUGAAGAUCUCAUAUGGAUUGAGGACUCGGGAGUAGGUGCAGUUAGGGGGAGUGAUGCAUCGAAUAUUUGAUUUAGUCGGGGUACACACCGCCCGUCAACCAGGAUGAUUAAUUUUGGUAAGUCGUAACAUGGUAACGUUGGGGGAACCGGGCGUUAGUUGACGGAGGGGUUUAUUUUCUCUGUUAUGGAGGUUCG